AGCGAACGCUGGCGGCAGGCUUAACACAUGCAAGUCGAACGAACUCUUCGGCUUUUGUGGCGGUGGGGUGAGUAGCAAGCGGGAACGUACCUCUUGGGUCGGCUUCACUCAGCGAAUGUUUUACUACUAGCGAAUGCGCCUAAUACGGGAUGGAUUGAUCGCCAUUGGUGGGGCCCGCGUCUGUUUAGCUAGUUGGUGGGGUAACGGCGCACCAUGGCGACGAUGAGUAGCUGGUCUGGGAGGAUGUCCAGCCACACUGGGACUGGGACGCGGCCCAGACGCCUACGGGAGGCAGGAGUGGGGGAUCGUGCGCAGUGGGCGGAGGGAUGACGGAGCCACGCCGGGUGAAUGAUGUAGGUCUUAGGAUUGUAAAAUUCUUUCACCGGGGACGAUAAUGACGGUACCCGGGGAAGAAGCCCCGGCUAACUUCGUG
rnacentral:rRNA from 1 species